rnacentral:tRNA from 1 species
AUUCAUUUAGUUUAACUAAAAUAUUUUAUUUUCACUAAAAAGAAAAAUUCAAUUUAAUGAAUU